rnacentral:snoRNA from 1 species
GACCUCCCAGGAUUGCGUCUGGAGGAGGGCUAGUAUUCUACCAGCUUCAGAGAUAGGAAGGAAAGCAAGCCCAGCAGAGAUGCCCAUUCCACUCCCAAUUGGCUCAGGAGCUGGCGAUUAGAAUAUACUCUGUAGCAUAU